rnacentral:rRNA from 1 species
GACGAACGCUGGCGGCGUGCUUAACACAUGCAAGUCGAGCGGUAAGGCCCUUUCGGGGGUACACGAGCGGCGAACGGGUGAGUAACACGUGGGUGACCUGCCCUCAGCUCUGGGAUAAGCCUGGGAAACCGGGUCUAAUACUGGAUAUGACUCCAUGACGCAUGUUGUGGGGUGAAAGCCUUGUGCGGCUGAGGAUGGGCCCGCGGCCUAUCAGCUUGUUGGUGGGGNGAUGGCCUACCAAGGCGACGACGGGUAGCCGGCCUGAGAGGGCGACCGG